UACGGAGGGUGCAAGCGUUACCCGGAAUCAUUGGGCGUAAAGCGUCCGCAGGCGGUUUAUUAAGUUGGAUAUUAAAUCUUGAAGCCCAACUUCAAGGCUGUAUCCAAAACUGGUAAUCUAGAGUCUUACAGAGGUGCGUGGAAUUCUGUGUGUAGGGGUAAAAUCCGUAGAUACACAGAGGAACACCAAAAGCGAAGGCAGCGCACUGGGUAAGUACUGACGCUCAUGGACGAAAGCGUGGGUAGCGAACGGG
rnacentral:misc_RNA from 1 species